CCCCCGUUCGGGCGAGGGUGCUGGUUCGCCCUUCCGUGGAGAUGCAAUGGAAACGGGCGAGGAGCCGAGAUGCAAUGGAGACGGGCGAGGAGCCGGGGACGGGGAGAAGCAGGUAGUCGGGGGUUCGCUGAUGCUGCUCCAGAUGCGUUUGACCUCUGGCUUCUGGUGUUUCAUCCGGUUGUGGACAAUCCACCAGAUAUGUGCCGCGUCCCUUUCGUGUUCCCUUCUUUCCCCCUCCCAUCUCUUGUUUUGCUCUGUUUUCCAUCCAAAAGUUAUAGUGCUUGAUGGAUUGUUGCUACUUGCUACGUAUUUGUCCAGUACUAUUUUUGGGUGUGAGUUAGUCAAUUAGUAAUUUUGGCUACUAUUUCCGGAUUUAGCACUGAUGCACAAUUGUUCAAAGAUGGCCAUUACAUCUAGAGUGAUGUGUGAUUCUCUUAUUUCUACAUUUAGAAUGAAGGAUAGAUCUAACACUCGCUAUUAUCCGCCAAUUCUCUGUAUCUAAUUGAUGUAAUUUCAAUUGUUUUUUUACAUCUAGACUUGUUAGAUUCUUUUAUCUGUACAUCUAGAAUGAUGAAAAUAUGUAACACUAGUAAUUAUUUCUCCACUUUAUAUGUAUUUUUCGGUCAUUUUUUACAUCUAGACAGUCGUGAGAUUCUUUUAUUUGUACAUCUAGAAUGAUGAAAAUAUGUAACAAUAGUAAUUAUUUCUCCACUUUAUAUGUAAUUUCCAGUCAUUUUUUACAUCUAGACAGCUGUGAGAUUCUUGUAUUUGUACAUGUAGAAUGAUAAAACAUGACUAGUAAUUAUUUCUCCACUUUAUAUGUAAUUUUCAGUCAUUUUUUACAUCUAGACUGAUGGAACGAUCAAACUGAAACGGUAAAAUGCUUGUUUGCUUUUCCAACUAGGAUGCUACUUCUGAAUUUAACUCAUGUUACUUUAUGUAAUUUUCUUUAUGUAGGUUGUAACUUUCUCAAAUUAUUACAUGCACGCAAUCUAAUAUGCUAUUUUAUAUGUUGUACCCUAUAUAUUAGCAUUGCAGCAUGUAUAUUCCAUUCUGUCACCCCUACUGUUAUGUAUGCUGUAACUAUCUCAAUUACCCGCAAGGUUUAUUACAUACAAGAAAUUUAUUGUGCUUUUUUACAUGCAGCAGAUGGCAUAUUAACAUGUUGCUCACACGCCACCAUGGUAGCAUCACUCAUGUCACCUGCAAUUGGAGUGAGCAUAAACCUGAAGGAUGUUUUCUUCGUCUCAUACAUGUCAUUUGAGAGUGGAUCUCAAAAACUUCAUGAAAUACUAGAUGCUUGUGUGUUCAUUGUUUUCACAGCGAACCUUUUUCUACAUCCUAGAUCACUUUUGUCAUGCUGCAAAGCAUAUCAGUUCUUUCCUA